AUUAUGGGCAAAAAUCUAAAGCAGGAAUUCUACGAAAACCUUGACAGACACAGUUCACGGUUCAUGGACCUUUUUAAAACCAAAAGGGGGGCUCCUGGUCAGCGCUUGUUGAACUUUUACAGCAAAUAAAGUCAGCCCAGCCAACAGAGGUCCGAACCCUUGUUCUUCGAGGACUGCCUAUCAUGCUCGGAGAUGAUGACUCGUCUUUCUUCAAGACAUGUUUAGUGUCUGAUCAUCGCAACACUAUCCUUGAUGUGCCAGUGGGGAUUUUAUUGGAGGACACCGAUCUUCAGCCCUCCAGCUCUUUGCAUUUGACUUCUUCAAUCGGAAUAAUUCUUGAAGGCCAAGUCGUGAUGGACAAAG